rnacentral:rRNA from 1 species
UUGAUGGUUACCGGCGUAAAGAGUGGUUACGGAACUUUUAAACUAAAGCCGAAUACCCUUUAGGCUGUCAUACGCACCUGAGGGCACGAAGCCCCCUCACGAAAGUGGCUUUACCCCCCCCCCCCCAAACCCCCAAAGC